AGCAGCCGCGGUAAUUCCAACUCCAAUAGCGUAUAUUAAAGUUGUUGCAGUUAAAAAGCUCGUAGUUGAAUUUCGGGGUUAGUAGGUUGGUCAUGCCUCUGGUAUGUACUGGUCUCACUGAUUCCUCCUUCCUGAUGAAUCUUAAUGCCAUUAAUUUGGUGUUUUGGGGAAUUUGGACUGUUACUUUGAAAAAAUUAGAGUGUUUAAAGCAAGCUAACGCUUGAAUACAUUAGCAUGGAAUAAUGAAAUAGGACGUUCGAUCCUAUUUUGUUGGUUUCUAGGAUUGACGUAAUGAUUAACAGGGAUAGUUGGGGGCAUUAGUAUUCAAUUGUCAGAGGUGAAAUUCUUGGAUUUAUUGAAGACUAACUACUGCGAAAGCAUUUGCCAAGGAUGUUUUCAUUAAUCAAGAACGAAAGUUAGGGGAUCGAAGACGAUCUGAUACCGUCGUAGUCUUAACCAUAAACUAUGCCGACUAGGGAUCGGAUGAUGUUAAUUUUUUAAUGACUCA
rnacentral:rRNA from 1 species